UAGGGAAUCUUCGGCAAUGGGGGGAACCCUGACCGAGCAACGCCGCGUGAGUGAAGAAGGUUUUCGGAUCGUAAAGCUCUGUUGUUAAGGAAGAACGAGUGUGAGAAUGGAAAGUUCAUACUGUUACGGUACUUAACCAGAAAGGGACGGCUAACUACGUGCCAGCAGCCGCGGUAAUACGUAGGUCCCGAGUGUUGUCCGGAUUUAUUGGGCGUAAAGCGAGCGCAGGCGGUUAGAUAAGUCUGAAGUUAAAGGCAGUGGCUCAACCAUUGUAGGCUUUGGAAACUGUUUAACUAGAGUGCAGAAGGGGGGAGUGGAAUUCCAUGUGUAGCGGUGAAAUGCGUAGAUAUAUGGAGGAACACCGGUAGCGAAAGCGGCUCUCUGGUCUGUAACUAACGCUGAGGCUCGAAAGCGUGGGGAGCGAACAGG
rnacentral:rRNA from 1 species